AGUGGAACGUUUUAUCAGAGCUUUUAUUGUAGAAAAUCGGAACCAAAGCACUGAAAAAGUUUGUAUAUUUUUCUGUUUUUAAUAAAUGCGUUUUUUUGGGGGGGGAAACCUGAUGCAGCCCGGCCUUGCCCAGACCCUAGCUCCAGUGGCCCCCAGGUAAAUUGAGUUUGAGACCCCUGUAGAAAGUCAUAGUGAAUAAUAAAUAUUCUUGCAACCUUAUGUUAUUAGCCAUGUGCAGACAAACAGAAGCUAGCAGGCGCCAUGAGCCAGCUUGAACGGUAAGCAGGGCAAAUACUGCACACAUUACAAAAAUAAAAUCAAAAUGUAAAUUAACACAAAUAACAAAUACAUUUUAUUGCAUUUUUUUUAAAUGUGGUUAAAUACAAUAUAUAGUUCCCCCUUUGGCCAAAAGUUUGACCUGACUGUUUCCUUUCUUCAAGCAUGCACAAACUUCCUGCUUAUUCUCAGAUUUCCUCAGCUUCCUGGUUGUGUUGCGGUCACUUCAGUGCUCUGAGGAACGACUCUGUUGGCGGUCUCUCCUUUUACAGUAAUAGCAACACGAUGAGGUUUGGGCUUGCACACACACACACACACACACACACAGGCAUGGUGCACCCCAUAGGGCCGGGCCUAGCCUCGACUUGUUCCUAAUGACGAGUGCGCCAAGGAGAAAGGCCCGGAAACGAUGGCUCUCUCUCAACCCGAUGUCAAACUAAUUAGUGCAAAUUGGACCACAUGCGCUCGGAUUUGGCAGGGGAUGAGACCGUGAUGGCGUCGUAGAGUGGCGCUCAUCACCUUUUAGGAAACUCAUUUGUCACCUCAUGCUAGCAGCAAUGAGAUUUGACUGAGGCCAAGCUGGCACAUGCUCUUGUGCCUCCUCUGACAUGUUUUAUUCUUAUUAUACUGUCAAAUAAGAAAUGUCUUCAUCACACAAGGAGACACACUUGACACAAAUUCACUUGGCUGAACUAGCUGAGUGAUCAUAUCCAAGACACAACUUUGCUCCAUGUUACAGUGUAUAAAAACAAGGCAGAAGUACUUUUUUUAAAAUCAAUAUUCCGGCAUAUAUUUUUUCUCAGAAAAGAGGCAGUUUUUCCACAGAAGUCACCUUAUUCACUCAUUUACUAAUACAUGAUAAUACAGGAUAAUACAUCAUACUGUACACGUACCACUGUUAGAAAGCCCACAAUUUGUAACUGUUUAUGUCUUUAUGCUUCACUGAUAAUGUUUUUUCAUCAGGCAUUGAGAUUUUGCACUUUUUCCCCCCAGCGGUCCUUAAACGUAUCAUCGUUGUGCACUGUGACAGGCUACACUGUCACCCUGAAUGAGAGCGAGCUGUUUGAGCUGGAUCAUCUCCAGCAUCCCAGCAGUAGGUCUUCUUUCCAAUUGAUUGCAAUUUUGCACCUAAAAGGGAUGAAAUGAGCCAAUGAGCCAUCAUGACUGACGCGUGUGAUCCUCCGUCGGCCUCCCGCCAACACACAAGCGCCCUCGUGGGUAUAGACCCUGGCCCCAGAAUGUCCCAGGGCUGCUGGCUGGUAAUUAAAUUGUUUGCCUGAUUCCCGCUCCUUACCACGCAGUUCAUCUAAUUAAAUCAACAGGUUUGCACAGCGCAGCCUUUGCCUGGUAAUUGGCUGCUCGUUAGAACUCUGCUGCCGCAAACAAAUUGGGUAAUUACCCCUAAAGUGGCGUCGAUGUCAGGGCCUCAUUUACCUGAUUUCUGUUUGUGCAUUGUUGUUGUUGCUGUCAUUGUUUUGGUGAGUCUGUAUUAAAGGUAAUUAAAAAUGGCUAAUUGGGUGGAGCAGAGGCAAAGUACUGUUUGAAUUUUCACCUGCCCAAUUUUAUUUGCUUACUUAGGGCUAUAUUUAUUCAUAAUAACCUAAUCAAGCAGUGGCCUGUC